rnacentral:rRNA from 1 species
GUAGGGAAUAUUGCACAAUGGACGAAAGUCUGAUGCAGCAACGCCGCGUGUGCGAUGAAGGUCUUCGGACUGUAAAGCACUUUUCUGAGGGAAGAGGAAGGACGGUACCUCAGGAAUAAGUCUCGGCUAACUACGUGCCAGCAGCCGCGGUAACACGUAGGAGGCAAGCGUUAUCCGGAUUUACUGGGCGUAAAGCGCGUGCAGGCGGUUUGGUAAGUUGGAUGUGAAAGCUCCCGGCUCAACUGGGAGAGGCCGUUCAAUACUGCCAGACUAGAGGACGGUAGAGGGAGGUGGAAUUCCCGGUGUAGUGGUGAAAUGCGUAGAUAUCGGGAGGAACACCAGUGGCGAAAGCGGCCUCCUGGGCCGUUCCUGACGCUAAGACGCGAAAGCAUGGGUAGCAAACGGGAUUAGAAACCCUAGUAGUCC